rnacentral:rRNA from 1 species
AUUGAACGCUAGCGGGAGGCCUAACACAUGCAAGUCGAACGAGUGGCGGACGGGUGAGUAAUAUAUGGGAACGUGCCCAGUAGCGGGGGAUAACUACUCGAAAGAGUGGCUAAUACCGCAUACCAUCGGAGCGGCCGAGAUGGGAUUAGCUAGUUGGUGGGGUAACGGCUCACCAAGGCAACGAUCCGUAGCUGGUCUGAGAGGACGACCAGCCACACUGGAACUGAGACACGGCCCAGACUCCUACGGGAGGCAGCAGUGGGGAAUUUUGGACAAUGGGGGAAACCCUGAUGCAGCCAUCCCGCGUGUAUGAGAAGGCCUUCGGGUUGUAAAGUACUUUUGGCGGAGAAGCGGUAUCUGCAGAAUAAGCACCGGCUAACUACGUGCCAGCAGCCGCGGUAAUUC